GUUGGCUUCCUUUUACGCCCGCAACAUUCUUGCUCGUUUCCUCCGUCUCCCCUCCUGGAGUCGCGACUCUGAACCCUAAAGCGUAGAUCCCCGCGCAGCAGGAGCAAUAACUCGCGCGUACGAAAUUUCCUCCAGUAAAACAUGAGGGAUUUUUUUGAGUGCAUUCGCCACCCGAGCACUAAGUGGGCGCAGAGCCUAGACAAGGUUUACUUGAUGAUUGAGCUGCCCGACGCAAAGGAUGUGAAGCUCAAGUUGAACCCUGAUGGCCAUUUCAACUUCUAAGCAACGGCCCCUCCUGAUGACAUGCAGUAUGAGCUUGACCUUGAGCUCUUUGAUGUUGUCAGUGUUGAGGAGAGCCAAGCGGCUCUUGCCCCGAGGACUAUAUGCUACCUUGUCAAGAAAGCUGAGGGCAAGUGGUGGCCUAGGCUGCUCAAGAAGGAAGGCAAACCACCUGUGUUCCUCAAGGUUGACUGGGAUAAAUGGCAAGAUGAGGAUGAUGAAGACGCUGGAUUUGGUGACUUUGGUGAUAUGGACUUCUCGAAGCUGGAUAUGGGAGGUGGUGAUGACGAUGAUGAGAUUUUGGAGCAUGAUGAAAACAAUGUGGUUGACAAUGCUAACAAAGGAAGCUUAUGAUGUUUAUCUUGUACUACAUGAUUUUUUCGGGAAGCAUAUGCCUGUUCAAGGCUUCAUAUUUCUGUCCUGCUAUUUGAUUAGUGCUAUUCUGAUAAUAUUCAGAACGAGCAUACUAGUAAGACAUUUUGAUGAAUCCUACUCUUAAUUAUUUAGCCUUUUAGGUGAGCCCUCAAUUUUUUUGGAGGUCCAAUGCGAGAGUAGCAUAGACAUAUCUUCAGUGUUGCUUUCAUAAUCUCCCUAUCACAUACACAUGCCUGUGGAAGUGUCGAACACUGUCCAAUGUUGUUCAAUCUGAUGUAGAUGUCGAGACAGAGGAGGGGAGCAAGGGAGGGGAAGCUCCAUCAGCUGCGGGUGAAGAAGCAAAGUCAUAAAAGAUUGGAGGCGAUGGCAUGGUUACAAUGAUGAUCACGAGAUCUGUAUCUAGACACUGGUAGAAUUUUGGCGUGCCCCUGAAGUUGGGUAGUAGAGGUGGUGUUGGUAGCUUUUGGCCGGGGGCUAUCUGUAGUGUUUGACGGACGGCACUGCUGUGCAUUCUGUUAUCCUGCACUUCUUGUUUAUUGUAGACCUGCUAGGUAUGUUAAUUGCAUGAGAUUGUGGUGUCACGUAUCUCAGAUAAUAUAAGAUUGCUUACUGUUGAUGAAAA